AGCCAGAGCACCAUCACGAGGCCUCGGCGCCCCGGGCUAACUAAAAAGUUGUGUUUUCUUUUUCCCCCCAAAGAGAUUCCUCGAAUUUCCUCCGCUUUUCCAACUCCCGGAGGGCGCUCCCCUCCCCCUCUCCCGUGGGCGCCGGCUCCGCGGGGCGGCGGCCAGCCUGGCCCGCUCGCUCCGGAGUUGUUUACCGGCCCCGCCGACCGACCGAGUUUGUUCCAGCUCCCAGAGCCUGUCUCUAUAAUUAAACUCUUUUUUUAAUUGUCGGGUUGAAACGUCAUUUCGGGGACUUUCCAAGGGUGAGUGAGCCGAGGGGGAGAGCGAGCCUUCUUAACCCUUCGCUGACCCGGUGUCCACGCCGCCGCCGGCCGGAGAGCAGCGUCCAACCAGGCCGAGGAGAGGUGGGAGUCUGAGGGCCAGAGCCCCGCCCAGACGUGCUCGGCAGGUGCCCGAUGGUGACGGGAACGGCAGCGAGCCACGACCCGGGCAGGAAGCCCGACGGGAGGCAUGCGCAGCCCUCCCCGUCUCCUUCGCUUUGCAGUCCGCUCUCCCGUCCCUCACCCGCGCCGUGGCCUGAGAGGCCGCCCCUCACCUGCACUGCUGCUUCCGACUGGGAGGUGACGGGCCUGGGCCGGAGGACUUCCGGGCCCUCCUCGCUCUCAUUUGGAACGGGUCUCCUUGCGAGGAGGGCCUAGCCAGGUAUUUGGCUUGGGGAUAUUAGGUUUUGUGAAAGUGAGAAAGUGAAAGUCCUCGGAAUUUGGGGACCGCGACGGAUAUAUUAAUUGACCAAUCUGGACCCUGGGCACUCCUCGCGGCAGCACCAGCCAGUUUGCUUUGGAAUGAUCCUCCAGCCUUCUCUAGCAAAACCCAGCCCAGAGUGGAGCAGACCCCACCCUGAAGAAGCAGGACCCACCUCCCCAGCUAAAGCAGGGAUCAGACAGCUCUUGGAGGGUCGCCACUUAGGCAGCCAGCAGAGGAGAGAGGAUGGAUCUUUGCCACAGCCCUGUGACUUCUUUAGAGAGUGAGGGCUCAUCUUCCUGGGCAAGGCCGAAAACCAUUCCAGUUCACCCCAGUUUGGUGGCUUCCAUCAUGGUGCCCUCUGGAGGGCUCGCUGGAGAAUCUGAGCAGGAGAUGCCCUGUGGCAGACAGGAGAAGCGUUAGGUGUGAUGGAGCCCUGGUAAUCAGCUUUGCAUCAUCCAGGGAGGCGCUUAUCCAGUCACCAGCUCUGUGGACCAGAGCUAAACCAACCCAGAGACACACCAUUCUGGAACAGUUGGGGUUCAUGGGAGACUGGCUUCCCCAACUCUAUACAAAGCCAGAGGUGUCCCAGCAAAUGCCACUUUUGGAAACGACUUAAGUAAUUUAAAUUAAUUCCCAGGUGUUCGCCAGGAGACCUAAAGAUAGCCACAGCUUUCCCAUUGCCAUGUUUGGCAAACAGUUUCUUGAAGUUCAUAUGGACUGUGUGUCCAUAAACACCAUGAGCACCUAGACGCUGGUUCUGCUCCCUUUGCGUGUUUGGACUCUUUCAGCCUUCUGUUGCCUCUCUCCUGUGAGUCUGCUGAUGCCUCUCUUCUCUGUGUUUGCUUUGGUUUUUCCAUUUCCCUUUCUUAAUCAAACCCACCUCUCCCCACCCUUCUAUUUCUCUAGAAUAGCAGGAGUUGGAAGAAAGCUGAAGCAAACCAAGGCAAAAUCAAGAAGCGAAGGCAGUAAAAAUGCAAGUGAGUUUGGUUUAGCCCCCAGCUUUGGCGUGCCAAGGCUGUCGACAGUGAGUGAGGUAGGCUCCCCCAAUAGAUAAGGGAUCUGAGCCUCACCAAGACAUCCAAAAUUGCACCUCCAAAGUUGAGCCAAGGAGAAGCCACACAGGCUGAACUCUGAUUGACUAGGACAAAGAAGAUGGUGCCAGUGCCAGCCUUUCUCCCUCUAAGAAUUCUUAAGUACUUGACCUUGAUUCUUUACAUUCUAUAAGUCACAUUAUUCUCCUGUCAAAAACUGAAAACUGAGAGAUAUGACAAAAUGUACAGAAGGGAUCAUUUCUAGGUUAUGGCCUUGGAUACUCAACCCAGUUCCUUCCCAGCCCUGCUAACCUUCAACUCUGUUAUGGUAAUGUCAUCUAUGACUCAAACUAUUAUUUAACCAUGAAAAAAGACAAACCAGGAAAUUAGAGGCUGAAUGACCUAAAAUUUAUUCCAUUCAACUGAGCUAAUCUGCUAAUAAGGGUGUGGAUAAUAAUAAGUCAUGCUAUAUCUGUUCUGGAAGAUGUGAACAUUGCAGGGAAAAGUGCAUGGUAACUGCAGAUCCCAACUUGUCAAGAUUUGUCCUCAAAAGAGUAAGUGCCUGGUCCUUGGCCAAGUUGCCUAGCAGUUUGCUAAACGAGUCUUAACAUUUAGGAACCAAUAUGUUGCAAUGAAGAGCACCCGAUUCAGGCUGACCAUAUUCAAAUCCUGGCACUGCCACUUCCUAGCAAGCAAGGGACUUACCUGCCCUCCCUUAGUCUCCUCUGCUGUGAAAUGGCAGAGACAGCAAUACUGACCUCCUGGGGCUGCUGUGGGGACAGAGGAGCAAAGCGCUUGCCACAUGCGAGCUGCCCCCCUCCCUAAAAGCACCCCCAGUCAACUGCUGCUGUAUGUUAAACAGCGAAUUGGCAAGACCAAGAAGGCGGCCAGAGGCCCCACCAAGUAGGGUUCCACGGAGUCACUGGAACACAGUCAAGUAUCCUGAGCAAGAGCGAGAAGAGGGUCCCAGAGGAGGCCCAGGCAGCUGGCGGGUGGAGUCCUGCGCAGAAAGCCAAGGCCAGCCACGCACAGCCGGGCGUCCGCGUGGGUGGGAGGACACAGGGGCUGCCGAACAGUCCUCCCGCAUUAGCUCAACGAGGCUGCAGCCCCACCCUCGCGUGUGUCCAUCCUGCCAUGAAACUCAGCGCACACUAACCCAGCACCCACUAUGUGCACGGCUUCUGCCUUGGGGAGAGCCACAAAGGGGCAAGCCCGUCGGCCUCCAAGGCUUAAUAACCAGGCAUUUCUGCCCAAAUUCAGAAAUCUGUCCUUUUAGAAGCUAGAUUGUAAGGACAUGACCAAAUGCUGAGAAAUUCUUAUUUUAAGGCUGUUCCCCGGCCCCCACUCCCACCCCAAGUAGAAAGGCAAAGACUUUAAAAAAUGUUUUGGAAAUGUGAACACAGACUACAUCUUGGUAAUAUUUAAGGGGCGUUGUUAAUUUUUUAGGUAUAAUAAGGACCGUGAGGCUACGCUUAAUGAGUCUGUUCUUUUGAGAGAUACAUACUGCUAUACUGAUAAUGAUAUAAUCUGCUAUAUAGGAUUUACUUCAAAAUUAUGUGGGAGUUAGGAAGGCAGACGGUGAUAUAAAUGAACAAGCGUGGCCAGGAUUCGAUGAUGUUGGUGAUGGGUAUAUGAGGCUUCAUCUUACUACCCUGUCUCCUUCUGUAUAUGUCUGGACUUUUUCAUACUAAAAUGUUUUAAGUUCAUAAAAGCUGAGAGAA